CCUAAGUCAAAGGGGACACCUUGACCCUGAUUUUCCUUGGACAGAAGUUAGCUCCCACCUCUUCCUGACCCUCACUCUUCCUUGCUCACUGGAUUCCUCCAUGAUCCCCAACCCACUUUUUAGAACACAAAGCCAGUUUUAGUUCCAUCUUCCCAGUGCUCUCUGUGGCCCUCCCACUCAUAUAAGAUCAUCACAUUUUAUCUUCUUCUUUUCCUAAGGAGGACAAAGACUCUCUCCAGUGAAGCCUUUCUCUUCUCCUCAGGCCUCUCCUUCCUGACUCAGCCUUGGUUUACCACUGAGAUUUGCCAUAUACCAUACAGAAGAACAAAAACGUUACCAAUUAUUGGCAGGUUUUUUUUGUUUUUUUGUUUUUUUUUUAACCAAACGUCAAGUUGGUGAUGAAGUUAUCUGGAAAUGUCAACCAAACCCAGAAGACUACACAAGACUACAGGAGAAGGCACUCUGGGUAACAGAUUCAAGUUUUCGCAUCAGUUUGUUCGAUGAAGGAUCACAACAUAGACAGUACGGCUUUCUUGCUUCCUCUUCGGAGGUUCCUUGUCUCCCACCUCCAGGACAGACAGGAGUCCUUGACAUCGUGGGAGAGGCAUUGUGGCAAUACUGCAUAGAAGGGAAACUGGGCUUCGGGCUGCGCCUCCUGAGAGUGGAUUGUCUGAGGUGCCAGCAGGACGUCCGUCAGAUUUCAGGUGGAGGAGAGAGAAAACGGCUUGUGACCUUGCAGGUUUCAAAAGAAGAGCAAACAAGAAGGGCAGAUAAGGAGACGCCAGUGAGAUUCUAUGGCCUGUCAUUAGGGAUGGGCUUCCCAGCUAUCAAAUGUUUGCUCACAUAAUAAAAUGGUGGCAGAGCCCAAAAUGUUGUCAAAAGAACUAGAGUUAUUUGCCUCCUUCAGAGUCUAAACACAAACAUCUGAUAAGGGGUGCACUGUGGUCCCUUAGAACUGGAGGCCCAGCACACGCAGCCCCACGGGGGCCUGGCCCAGAAGAUCUCUGAGAGACCGCGGGGCCCU
rnacentral:lncRNA from 10 species